rnacentral:rRNA from 1 species
AGAGUUUGAUCCUGGCUCAGGAUGAACGCUGGCGGCGUGCCUAACACAUGCAAGUCGAGCGAAGCACUUUGCUUAGAUUCUUCGGAUGAAGAGGAUUGUGACUGAGCGGCGGACGGGUGAGUAACGCGUGGGUAACCUGCCUCGUACAGGGGGAUAACAGUUAGAAAUGACUGCUAAUACCGCAUAAGACCACAGCACCGCAUGGUGCAGGGGUAAAAACUCCGGUGGUAUGAGAUGGACCCGCGUCUGAUUAGCUAGUUGGUAAGGUAACGGCUUACCAAGGCGACGAUCAGUAGCCGACCUGAGAGGGUGACCGGCCACAUUGGGACUGAGACACGGCCCAAACUCCUACGGGAGGCAGCAGUGGGGAAUAUUGCACAAUGGGGGAAACCCUGAUGCAGCGACGCCGCGUGAGCGAAGAAGUAUUUCGGUAUGUAAAGCUCUAUCAGCAGGGAAGAAAAUGACGGUACCUGACUAAGAAGCACCGGCUAAAUACGUGCCAGCAGCCGCGGUAAUACGUAUGGUGCAAGCGUUAUCCGGAUUUACUGGGUGUAAAGGGAGCGUAGACGGAUGGGCAAGUCUGAUGUGAAAACCCGGGGCUCAACCCCGGGACUGCAUUGGAAACUGUUCAUCUAGAGUGCUGGAGAGGUAAGUGGAAUUCCUAGUGUAGCGGUGAAAUGCGUAGAUAUUAGGAGGAACACCAGUGGCGAAGGCGGCUUACUGGACAGUAACUGACGUUGAGGCUCGAAAGCGUGGGGAGCAAACAGGAUUAGAUACCCUGGUAGUCCACGCCGUAAACGAUGACUACUAGGUGUCGGGUGGGAAACCAUUCGGUGCCGCCACAAACGC